CCUCGAGCGCCCUUUGGAUAAGUUAUCAAACAGUCUUUACUUUCGUAUUAAGUUACAAGUGUUCGCUAUCGCAACAAAUCCAAACGCAAAAAUGUUCAACCUUCACAAAGUGCUCAUCGUGUUCGCCGCCUUGGUGUGCAUCGCUGCUGCCUACCCAAGCAUCAUAGGACCAGCCAUCGUCCCCUCUAUUGGAACAGGUCUUGUUGUAGGAGCUGUCGGACCAGUCGGCCCAAUCGUAGGUCUGGGUCAUGGUGGCAUUAUUGGACACCCUCGUUUAAUUGGUUAAAUAACUACUUCUAAACAAUACUAAUUGGACUGCCAACAUUCCCCACUGGACAACUCCCUUUACGCUCCUGCUCAUCGUUAUUUUUUCACACCCCACAUCACUUAUGGAUCAACUAAUGUUAGGAAUUUCGCAACUUUAGCAUAUCUUUGUGUCUCGUUCGCAGCAUUGUUGCAUACUCCUUUAUCAACCAUCAAUAAUAUUUUUUUAAAUUGUGUUUUUUAUUUUAAAAUGAUUUGAAUAAAUAUGCAAUAAACCAAAAAA